AAGUCCCAGCCCAUGCUCUGUUCUUAUUCUCCGGCGAGAUUUUCUCAGCCCCGCAUCUUUUUAUCUUUAUGUUUCUUCUCCGGCUUGAGGGAGUGGAUUCCCAUCACUAGAUUCUUGGAUAAAAGGAGGAGAUGCAAGAUACUCCACAACCGCAUGGACCAAACCUAUAGCUCGAUCGGCCUUGUUAAGUGACAAUAUAUUGAGAUCUAGAACAUUGCGGAGCAACGAGUGACAAAAGUAUUAGAUGAGAUGUGGAACAUUGCGGGCAACUCUUUGUUGACUGGACACAUGAGAUGCAACGUGAGCUUCUUCGCCUGUAACGGGAUGCAUUUCUCUUCCAGAUUAUUGAAGAGAUUGUUAAGGAUUGAAUGUUCUAUUUGGUACUGUCCAGAUGAGUUCGUCCUGUGCUAGAAGGUGUGUGGGAUAUAGGAGAUACAAGGAGAGAUAUUUCAGUUGCAAUCCAGCUUUAUUUCAAUGUAAAAGAUGCAGGUUCUACGAUCUCCUGUGUUGCUACAUCUUCAUCUCCUGCAUUGUUGUAACUCUGUUCUGCUGCUCGAGAAGAAGCAGGAGCAAAGCAUACGCAUGCUUCCUUGGUGAGUUUAGAGUUUACCCUGUCUCUGGAAGUUGAAAUUGGCUCUCAUGCGAGCGACGGCCUUUUGUUAGCCAUGGGUCAUUGUGGUGCCUGUUGGGCCUUUGGUGUUGUGGAGUGCCUGCAAGAUCGUUUCUGCGUUCCUCAGCAUGGACCGUUAGUAAGAUUGCUCAUUGGCAAGCGAAAGAGGUUUGCGGAUUCUUGCACGACUAAGGAAGAAAUUUGUUAUUUGAAGUAUGCACAAGAGAUAUUGCAAGGUAUUUCUGUUACUAGCUUCAUAUCUUCUAGAACCUAUGUACAGAUAAUGAUUCGUAACUGCAAUUAUUUUUGUCCUAAAUAUAGAAGCAAAUUGAAGAGUUAGACUUCUGUAUGGAAAUUUAGAUAGUAGUUCCUUGGAAGGCAGUUUAAUUUCUUGCAUUGAUUCCUCAUGCUAUAAGCCACACCUUUCCUAUUUUGUUAAAGAAGUAAACUCAUGCUAUACACCACCAGUCAGCCUAGCGUUCAAGCAGGCCACUAGGCCAGGCCAUUCAAGCAAACCUCGCUGCCACUACAGUUUAGUUCUUAGCUAUGCGUGUGACUAUUUCAAUCGACAGGACAAAAAACUAUGGGAGGAAUCAAAGGCACGCAUCUGACCUCAGGUGCACAUACCAAUUGAAAUAAGAGGUGAUAAUGUUAUCAUAUAGCUAUACUGGAUUUAUUAUUAACUUAAUGACCAAACUGGAUGGUAAAAGCUUACUUCACUUGGAUAACAGGAGUCGGACACCAAAAGCUUGCUAUCUAAUUUUCUUCUCUGUACAGGAAAAAAAUAUACCGAUAAUUGGACAUUGAAAGUCUGCUAAAUUUUUUUUGAGCUGUAUAGUGUAUACCUUUAUAAUAUAGAUCCUUGCUCAUGUUACACCUUUCUUGUUCUUAUGGCGAAAAAAAUAGCAUAUUAACCAUUUCUAUAUUUUUUUCUGUGCUUUUCUUUUAAUACAGUAGUGUCUAUGCUUAUGGAUUUCUUAUAUUUUUGUUGUCAAUCUAGCAUGCCUGUGUCACUCCCGUCCUGUUUUAGCUCUGUUGAUGGAUGAUUUCUGCCAUUUCUUUUUAUUCCCAUUUCAUGUGUAAGCAUUUGAUAUAUCAUGAGGGUAUGUAUGAUUUAUUUGAUAUGGGCAAAGAAAUAUCUACUCCAAAUAUGGGAUAUUGGGUUGUGG